rfam:Clostridiales bacterium CHKCI001 isolate CHKC1 genome assembly, contig: {contig5}
UGAGUAAGAUAAAUGAUCGCGGCUGUGUAUGCCAAAAGGCUACAGGUGAGGAAAGUCCGGGCUUCAUAGGGCAGGAUGCCGGAUAACGUCCGGUAGAGGCAACUCUAAGGCUAGUGCAACAGAGAUAUACCGCCAGAAGUUUCUGGUAAGGGUGGAAAGGUAGUGUAAGAGACUACCUCUUGUUUGGUAACAAACAGGGUAUCUGUAAACCCCAUCCGAAGCAAGACCGAACAGAAAGCGUAAAGUGGCCCGCUUGCUUUCGGGUAGGUCGCUCGAUCAUUUUGGUAACAAAAUGGCUAGAUAGAUGAUCAUUCAUGACAUAACCCGGCUUAUCGUCUUGCUCAUAUA